rnacentral:misc_RNA from 1 species
CAAACCCACUCAUAAAUAUUAUGGUAAUGGUGGAUGUGAAGGGAGGCUACUAAUAUGUCUCAGUCACCCCAUUGAAAUACAUAGGCAGGACAAUUAUCUUUGGCAAAGGACUUAGUAACUGUUUUGAAGACAUAUAUUAGUUUCUUGCUAGGAUUUGGACUGACUUCUAUGAAUCUCCAUCAAAGACAAAUUCUG